rnacentral:rRNA from 1 species
GAUGAACGCUGACAGAAUGCUUAACACAUGCAAGUCAACUUGAAUUUGGGUUUUUAACUUAGAUUUGGGUGGCGGACGGGUGAGUAACGCGUAAAGAACUUGCCUCACAGUUAGGGACAACAUUUAGAAAUGAAUGCUAAUACCUGAUAUUAUGAUUUUAGGGCAUCUUAGAAUUAUGAAAGCUAUAAGCACUGUGAGAGAGCUUUGCGUCCCAUUAGCUAGUUGGAGAGGUAACAGCUCACCAAGGCGAUGAUGGGUAGCCGGCCUGAGAGGGUGAACGGCCACAAGGGGACUGAGACACGGCCCUUACUCCUACGGGAGGCAGCAGUGGGGAAUAUUGGACAAUGGACCGAGAGUCUGAUCCAGCAAUUCUGUGUGCACGAUGAAGUUUUUCGGAAUGUAAAGUGCUUUCAGUUGGGAAGAAAAAAAUGACGGUACCAACAGAAGAAGUGACGGCUAAAUACGUGCCAGCAGCCGCGGUAAUACGUAUGUCACGAGCGUUAUCCGGAUUUAUUGGGCGUAAAGCGCGUCUAGGUGGUUAUGUAAGUCUGAUGUGAAAAUGCAGGGCUCAACUCUGUAUUGCGUUGGAAACUGUAUAACUAGAGUACUGGAGAGGUAAGCGGAACUACAAGUGUAGAGGUGAAAUUCGUAGAUAUUUGUAGGAAUGCCGAUGGGGAAGCCAGCUUACUGGACAGAUACUGACGCUAAAGCGCGAAAGCGUGGGUAGCAAACAGG